rnacentral:rRNA from 1 species
UACAGAGGUCUCAAGCGUUGUUCGGAUUCAUUGGGCGUAAAGGGUGCGUAGGUGGUGCUGUAAGUCAGGCGUGAAAUCUCGGGGCUCAACCCCGAAACUGCACUUGAUACUGCAGUGCUCGAGGACUGGAGAGGAGAUUGGAAUUCAUGGUGUAGCAGUGAAAUGCGUAGAUAUCAUGAGGAAGACCAGUGGCGAAGGCGGAUCUCUGGACAGUUCCUGACGCUGAGGCACGAAGGCCAGGGGAGCAAACGGG